AAGUUUGUUACUGGUAUGAGCUUUUGUGUGCAUGCACACUUCUUCAGUGUGCAUGCACACAAAAGCUUAUACCAAUAACAAACUU